rnacentral:rRNA from 1 species
CUGCGGCAGCGACACUAUGUGUUGUUGGGUAGGGGAGCGUUCUGUAAGCCUGUGAAGGUGGCCUGUGAGGGUUGCUGGAGGUAUCAGAAGUGCGAAUGCUGACAUAAGUAACGAUAAAGCGGGUGAAAAGCCCGCUCGCCGGAAGACCAAGGGUUCCUGUCCAACGUUAAUCGGGGCAGGGUGAGUCGACCCCUAAGGCGAGGCCGAAAGGCGUAGUCGAUGGGAAACGGGUUAAUAUUCCCGUACUUGGUGUUACUGCGAAGGGGGGACGGAGAAGGCUAUGUUGGCCGGGCGACGGUUGUCCCGGUUUAAGCGUGUAGGCUGGUUUUCCAGGCAAAUCCGGAAAAUCAAGGCUGAGGCGUGACGACGAGGCACUACGGUGCUGAAGCAACAAAUGCCCUGCUUCCAGGAAAAGCCUCUAAGCAUCAGGUAACAUCAAAUCGUACCCCAAACCGACACAGGUGGUCAGGUAGAGAAUACCAAGGCGCUUGAGAGAACUCGGGUGAAGGAACUAGGCAAAAUGGUGCCGUAACUUCGGGAGAAGGCACGCUGACACGUAGGUGAAGUGAUUUACUCAUGGAGCUGAAGUCAGUCGAAGAUACCAGCUGGCUGCAACUGUUUAUUAAAAACACAGCACUGUGCAAACACGAAAGUGGACGUAUACGGUGUGACGCCUGCCCGGUGCCGGAAGGUUAAUUGAUGGGGUCAGCGCAAGCGAAGCUCCUGAUCGAAGCCCCGGUAAACGGCGGCCGUAACUAUAACGGUCCUAAGGUAGCGAAAUUCCUUGUCGGGUAAGUUCCGACCUGCACGAAUGGCGUAAUGAUGGCCAGGCUGUCUCCACCCGAGACUCAGUGAAAUUGAACUCGCUGUGAAGAUGCAGUGUACCCGCGGCAAGACGGAAAGACCCCGUGAACCUUUACUAUAGCUUGACACUGAACAUUGAGCCUUGAUGUGUAGGAUAGGUGGGAGGCUUUGAAGUGUGGACGCCAGUCUGCAUGGAGCCGACCUUGAAAUACCACCCUUUAAUGUUUGAUGUUCUAACGUGGACCCGUGAUCCGGGUUGCGGACAGUGUCUGGUGGGUAGUUUGACUGGGGCGGUCUCCUCCUAAAGAGUAACGGAGGAGCACGAAGGUUGGCUAAUCCUGGUCGGACAUCAGGAGGUUAGUGCAAUGGCAUAAGCCAGCUUGACUGCGAGCGUGACGGCGCGAGCAGGUGCGAAAGCAGGUCAUAGUGAUCCGGUGGUUCUGAAUGGAAGGGCCAUCGCUCAACGGAUAAAAGGUACUCCGGGGAUAACAGGCUGAUACCGCCCAAGAGUUCAUAUCGACGGCGGUGUUUGGCACCUCGAUGUCGGCUCAUCACAUCCUGGGGCUGAAGUAGGUCCCAAGGGUAUGGCUGUUCGCCAUUUAAAGUGGUACGCGAGCUGGGUUUAGAACGUCGUGAGACAGUUCGGUCCCUAUCUGCCGUGGGCGCUGGAGAACUGAGGGGGGCUGCUCCUAGUACGAGAGGACCGGAGUGGACGCAUCACUGGUGUUCGGGUUGUCAUGCCAAUGGCACUGCCCGGUAGCUAAAUGCGGAAGAGAUAAGUGCUGAAAGCAUCUAAGCACGAAACUUGCCCCGAGAUGAGUUCUCCCUGAGACUUAAAGUCUCCUGAAGGAACGUUGAAGACGACGACGUUGAUAGGCCGGGUGUGUAAGCGCAGCGAUGCGUUGAGCUAACCGGUACUAAUGAACCGUGAGGCUUAACCUUACA